rnacentral:rRNA from 1 species
UGGGGAAUUUUGGACAAUGGGCGAAAGCCUGAUCCAGCAAUGCCGCGUGUGUGAAGAAGGCCUUCGGGUUGUAAAGCACUUUUGUCCGGAAAGAAAUCCUUGGCUCUAAUACAGUCGGGGGAUGACGGUACCGGAAGAAUAAGCACCGGCUAACUACGUGCCAGCAGCCGCGGUAAUACGUAGGGUGCAAGCGUUAAUCGGAAUUACUGGGCGUAAAGCGUGCGCAGGCGGUUUGCUAAGACCGAUGUGAAAUCCCCGGGCUCAACCUGGGAACUGCAUUGGUGACUGGCAGGCUAGAGUAUGGCAGAGGGGGGUAGAAUUCCACGUGUAGCAGUGAAAUGCGUAGAGAUGUGGAGGAAUACCGAUGGCGAAGGCAGCCCCCUGGGCCAAUACUGACGCUCAUGCACGAAAGCGUGGGGAGCAAACAGGAUUAGAUACCCUGGUAGUCCACGCCCUAAACGAUGUCAACUAGCUGUUGGGGAUUCAUUUCCUUAGUAACGUAGCUAACGCGUGAAGUUGACCGCCUGGGGAGUACGGUCGCAAGAUUAAAACUUAAAUGAAUUGACGGGGUCAUAGCUGUUUCCU